rnacentral:rRNA from 1 species
ACAACUUUCAACAACGGAUCUCUUGGUUCUGGCAUCGAUGAAGAACGCAGCGAAAUGCGAUAAGUAGUGUGAAUUGCAGAAUUCAGUGAAUCAUCGAAUCUUUGAACGCACAUUGCGCCCCUUGGUAUUCCAUGGGGCAUGCCUGUUCGAGCGUCAUUUGUACCUUCA